UUUUUGGUAUUGACCUGAAGCACCUGGAUUUUUUUGGGUUUUAAUUCGUUGUUUUAUUUAGUUUCUUCUGGGUUUUAUGCUUGCUUGCGAAAUCGAGCAAACAUAGAAUUAGACAGAACCCAAGCAAUAGUUGAAUUAGAAAAAAUUCAGAGGAAGAGGAAUUUAGAAAGAAGGAGAAGAGGGAUUUGAAGCCGGUUUUGCCCUUCGUCGUCGGUGAAUUAGGAUUUGGUUUCGACAGUACCGAAUUUGUGGCUUUAGCGAGUUUGACAAGAGUUUGUGUGUAAGUUUUCUGCUUCUGCUGCUAUUGCUUUUGUCAGUUUUUGUGUGAUUCGGUUUUUGAGUGGGUCUUUUGUUGUUGGUGGUUUUGAAUUGGUAUGGGUUUCUGCGUUUUGGGGGGUUUUGUUUGUCUGCGGGUCUAGGUUGUUGAUUAUUGAUUGGAGAGGUUUCAAGUUAUGAUUUUACUGUAUGUUAUAUCGGUGGGGAAGUUAUUAGAAUCUCUUAGAUUGUUGGUUGUUCUGGAAUUGAAGGCUUAAUAAUAGAAUCUAACAUGUAAAUGCAUAUGCAUGUAAUUCUUUAAAUUCCAACUUCUGAUAUCCAUAUUGAGUUGAUAAAACCGUUUCUAUUAUCUACGUACAUUAACCCAAAGCAGUCUCUUAACCCAAAACCCAAUCCAAUUUAAGAUUACGAGGUUAUUGAGUCGGCCUCUUGCUUCGUUUUGGUUUGUUUCUUACUUUCAGUCAGUUUUUUUUUCUUUUUUCUUUUUUCCUAUGUCAUUGUACAUUGUUUUUAACCAGCAAAUUGAUAUAUGUUUGUUGUCUUAGAAGUUCGUCUCUUUCUGUUUUGAAAUUGUGAUUGUCCCAAUAUUCUGAUGGCUUGGAGAUUUAUUUGUCUGGUAUGAAUGCGAAACAAGAAUCAUUGACAAAGUUCCAGUGGUGAUCAUGUGGUCAGAGAACAUCCUCAGUUGAAUCGAUAGAAAAGCAGCUUCCAAGAGCCGUACUUGAAAUCAAGAGCCUGGAUGUGUUCUGAUCAUCAUUAUUAUAUCCUCAGGCUGUUGAGAAGGCUUCACAAACUGAUAAGCUGUUUGCGCUUCUCCAAACAACAUUCAUAAUUUUCAAAAGUAGAAUACUUAACUGUCAUUAAGAUUUC